AAGGGGGGAGUGCGUUGCACGUCCAGCUUCGAACUGGGAUUAUUUUCCUCUUG
rnacentral:tRNA from 1 species